UCCCUGGUGGUCCAGUGGUUAGGACUCAGUGCUUUCACUGUCCUGGGCUCAGGUUCAAUCCUUGGCCAGGGAA
rnacentral:tRNA from 1 species